UACGAAGGGGGCUAGCGUUGUUCGGAAUUACUGGGCGUAAAGCGCACGUAGGCGGAUAUUUAAGUCGGGGGUGAAAUCCCGGGGCUCAACCCCGGAACUGCCUUCGAUACUGGGUAUCUUGAGUUCGGAAGAGGUGAGUGGAAUUGCGAGUGUAGAGGUGAAAUUCGUAGAUAUUCGCAGGAACACCAGUGGCGAAGGCGGCCAUCUGGGACAACACUGACGCUGAAGCACGAAAGCGUGGGGAGCAAACAGG
rnacentral:rRNA from 1 species